UACGUAGGUGGCAAGCGUUGUCCGGAUUUAUUGGGUUUAAAGGGUGCGUAGGCGGUCUUAUAAGUCAGUGGUGAAAUACGGCAGCUCAACUGUCGAGGUGCCAUUGAUACUGUAGGACUUGAGUACAGACGAGGUAGGCGGAAUUGACGGUGUAGCGGUGAAAUGCUUAGAUAUCGUCAAGAACACCGAUAGCGAAGGCAGCUUACUAGGCUGUGACUGACGCUGAGGCACGAAAGUGUGGGGAUCAAACAGG
rnacentral:rRNA from 1 species